UGGAUGCUGAGGCCGACCUACGAGGCUGACU
rnacentral:piRNA from 1 species